GGUGAUCUACCCUUGGUCAGGUUGAAGUUCAGGUAACACUGAAUGGAGGACCGAACCGACUUACGUUGAAAAGUGAGCGGAUGAACUGAGGGUAGCGGAGAAAUUCCAAUCGAACCUGGAGAUAGCUGGUUCUCUCCGAAAUAGCUUUAGGGCUAGCCUCAAGUGAUGAUUAUUGGAGGUAGAGCACUGUUUGGACGAGGGGCCCCUCUCGGGUUACCGAAUUCAGACAAACUCCGAAUGCCAAUUAAUUUAACUUGGGAGUCAGAACAUGGGUGAUAAGGUCCGUGUUCGAAAGGGAAACAGCCCAGACCACCAGCUAAGGUCCCAAAAUAUAUGUUAAGUGGAAAAGGAUGUGGCGUUGCCCAGACAACUAGGAUGUUGGCUUAGAAGCAGCCAUCAUUUAAAGAGUGCGUAAUAGCUCACUAGUCGAGUGACACUGCGCCGAAAAUGUACCGGGGCUAAACAUAUUACCGAAGCUGUGGAUUGUCCUUUGGACAAUGGUAGGAGAGCGUUCUAAGGGCGUUGAAGCAUGAUCGUAAGGACAUGUGGAGCGCUUAGAAGUGAGAAUGCCGGUGUGAGUAGCGAAAGACGGGUGAGAAUCCCGUCCACCGAUUGACUAAGGUUUCCAGAGGAAGGCUCGUCCGCUCUGGGUUAGUCGGGUCCUAAGCUGAGGCCGACAGGCGUAGGCGAUGGAUAACAGGUUGAUAUUCCUGUACCACCUAUAAUCGUUUUAAUCGAUGGGGGGACGCAGUAGGAUAGGCGAAGCGUGCGAUUGGAUUGCACGUCUAAGCAGUAAGGCUGAGUAUUAGGCAAAUCCGGUACUCGUUAAGGCUGAGCUGUGAUGGGGAGAAGACAUUGUGUCUUCGAGUCGUUGAUUUCACACUGCCGAGAAAAGCCUCUAGAUAGAAAAUAGGUGCCCGUACCGCAAACCGACACAGGUAGUCAAGAUGAGAAUUCUAAGGUGAGCGAGCGAACUCUCGUUAAGGAACUCGGCAAAAUGACCCCGUAACUUCGGGAGAAGGGGUGCUCUUUAGGGUUAACGCCCAGAAGAGCCGCAGUGAAUAGGCCCAAGCGACUGUUUAUCAAAAACACAGGUCUCUGCUAAACCGUAAGGUGAUGUAUAGGGGCUGACGCCUGCCCGGUGCUGGAAGGUUAAGAGGAGUGGUUAGCUUCUGCGAAGCUACGAAUCGAAGCCCCAGUAAACGGCGGCCGUAACUAUAACGGUCCUAAGGUAGCGAAAUUCCUUGUCGGGUAAGUUCCGACCCGCACGAAAGGCGUAACGAUUUGGGCACUGUCUCAACGAGAGACUCGGUGAAAUCAUAGUACCUGUGAAGAUGCAGGUUACCCGCGACAGGACGGAAAGACCCCGUGGAGCUUUACUGUAGCCUGAUAUUGAAAUUCGGCACAGCUUGUACAGGAUAGGUAGGAGCCUUUGAAACGUGAGCGCUAGCUUACGUGGAGGCGCUGGUGGGAUACUACCCUAGCUGUGUUGGCUUUCUAACCCGCACCACUUAUCGUGGUGGGAGACAGUGUCAGGCGGGCAGUUUGACUGGGGCGGUCGCCUCCUAAAAGGUAACGGAGGCGCUCAAAGGUUCCCUCAGAAUGGUUGGAAAUCAUUCAUAGAGUGUAAAGGCAUAAGGGAGCUUGACUGCGAGACCUACAAGUCGAGCAGGGUCGAAAGACGGACUUAGUGAUCCGGUGGUUCCGCAUGGAAGGGCCAUCGCUCAACGGAUAAAAGCUACCCCGGGGAUAACAGGCUUAUCUCCCCCAAGAGUUCACAUCGACGGGGAGGUUUGGCACCUCGAUGUCGGCUCAUCGCAUCCUGGGGCUGUAGUCGGUCCCAAGGGUUGGGCUGUUCGCCCAUUAAAGCGGUACGCGAGCUGGGUUCAGAACGUCGUGAGACAGUUCGGUCCCUAUCCGUCGUGGGCGUAGGAAAUUUGAGAGGAGCUGUCCUUAGUACGAGAGGACCGGGAUGGACAUACCUCUGGUGUACCAGUUGUCGUGCCAACGGCAUAGCUGGGUAGCUAUGUGUGGACGGGAUAAGUGCUGAAAGCAUCUAAGCAUGAAGCCCCCCUCAAGAUGAGAUUUCCCAACUUCGGUUAUAAGAUCCCUCAAAGAUGAUGAGGUUAAUAGGUUCGAGGUGGAAGCAUGGUGACAUGUGGAGCUGACGAAUACUAAUCGAUCGAAGACUUAAUCAAAA
rnacentral:rRNA from 1 species